AUGGUUACUACUUACUAGAUCUGAAAUUUGAACAUUCAAGAGUAUGUCUGUUGUUCCCAUUUUCUUUGAGUUCAUAGGUGCUGCUUGAUCAAUUCCCUUGAUGUCAAGGCAGCAAGUGGUUGAGGAAUAUUAAAGCAAACUUGAGUUUGAAACAUUUACAGUUUUUCUAAAUGGGAUCAAGUGUUUGAGAGAGAGCAUAAUUUGAUUGAUAGUCUUGAGCUGGUGGAUUUGGAAUUUCUAUUCUUUAUUUAUUUAUUUAUAAUUUUUGCCCACAAAUGCCUAUGUCAUGUGGCAAAUUGUUGUUUCUCAUGCUUAUCUGAUCAUCAAUGACAUAAUUAUUCUAAGAUAAGGGCGUAAUUUCUAGUCCAUUUUUGUCUCAUCAACUUCCUAUUA
rnacentral:misc_RNA from 1 species